GGGUGAUCUGGCUGCGACAUCUGUCACCCCAUGGAUCACCAGGGUUGAUUUGGCUGAUCUGGGUGGCUAGGCGGAUGUCCCCUUCCGGGAGGAAGGCUCCAUGUGCAUCUCUCCCAAAACUAAGUGCUCAGUGGAAGAGGACAACCAUCCCCUACAGAGGAGGAUCGGUCUUUGGAUAAGGGUAUACGAAUAGCUGUGCUCUCCUGCUAGAACCUCCAAACAUGCUCUCAAGAAUCUGACAGGCUACUUCAUUAUGUCAGGAUUAUGAUGUCUAGUACAAUUGAAAACUUUAAUCAGCAGAUUGUGUGAUCACAGUUU
ensembl:misc_RNA 7SK 7SK RNA